CCUACGGGAGGCAGCAGUAAGGAAUAUUGGUCAAUGGACGCCAGUCUGAACCCACCAUGGCGGGGGGAGGAAGAAGGGCCUCUGGGUUGGAAACUUUUUUUACAGGGGAAGAAACACUUUUAUUCCUAGGAGCUUGGCGGGACCCUGGGAAUAAGCCCCGGCUAACUCCGUGGCCAGCAGCCGCGGUAAU
rnacentral:rRNA from 1 species